rnacentral:rRNA from 1 species
AGACGGGGGGGGCGAGCGUUGUUCGGAAUUACUGGGCGUAAAGGGCGCGCAGGCGGCCUGGGAAGUUUUGGGUGAAAGCCCCCGGCUCAACCGGGGAAUGGCCUGAGAAACCACUAGGCUGGAGUGCUGGAGAGGGAAGCGGAAUUCCCGGUGGAGCGGUGAAAUGCGUAGAUAUCGGGAGGAACACCGGAGGCGAAGGCGGCUUCCUGGACAGACACUGACGCUGAGGCGCGAAAGCUAGGGGAGCAAACGGGAUUAGAAACCCCAGUAGUCC